ensembl:lncRNA
CAGCGUCGUAAGUGUUCAUGACGAUUUAUUAAAAACGAACUGAACACUGUAAUACAAAACAAUAAACGAUGUGAUGAAAACGAAAACCGAGACAGUACCGUGUGGCGACAAACACUCACACGGAAACAAACACCCACAAACCAACAGUGAAACCCAGGCUACCUAAGUAUGAUUCUCAAUCAGAGACAACUAACGACACCUGCCUCUGAUUGAGAACCAUACUAGGCUGAACACAAAAACCAACAUAGAAAAACAAACAUAGACUGUCCACCCCAACUCACGCCCUGACCAUACUAAAUACAGACCAAACAAAGGAACUAAAGGUCAGAACGUGACAGGGGGACCGGUUAGUUGAGGAAGUAUGUACAUGUAGGUAGAGUUAUUAAAGUGACUAUGCAUAGAUGAUAACAGAGAGUAGCAGUGGUAUAAAGAGGGGGAGAGGGGGGCAAUGCAAAUAGUCUGGGUGGCCAUUUGACCAGAUGUUCAGGAGUCUUAUGCCUUGGGGGUAGAAGCUGUUUAGAAGUCUCUUGGUCCUAGACUUGGCGCACCAGGACCUUUCCAGGACCUCUGUAGUGCCUCUGAGGCCGGGCAGCAUACCAGGCUCUCACUGGUGCAGCUGUAGAACCUUUUGAGGAUCUGAGGACCCAUGCCAAAUCUUUUCAGUCUCCUGAGGGGGAAUAGGUUUUGUCGUGCCAUCUUCACGACUGUCUUGGUGUGCUUGGACCAUUCUAGUUUGUUGAUGAUGUGGACACCAAGGAACUUGAAGCUCUCAACCUGCUCCACUGCAGCCCCAUCGAUGAGAAUGGGGGCGUGCUCAGUCCUCUUUUCCUGUCUUCCACAAUCAUCUCCUUUGUCUUGAUCACAUUGAGGGAGAGGAUGUUGUUCUGGCACCACACGGCCAGGUCUCUGACCUCCUCCCUAUAGCCUAUCACCGUUGUGUCAUCGGCAAAUUUAAUGAUGGUGUGGGAGUCGUGCCUGGCCGUGCAGUCAUGAGUCAACAGGGAGUACAGUAGGGGACUGAGCACGCACCUCUGGCCCCAGUGUUGAGGAUCAGUGUAGCAGAUGUGUUGUUACCUACCCUUACCACCUGGUGGCGACCCGUCAGGAAGUCCAGGAUCCAGUUGCAGAGGGAGGUGUUUAGUCCCAGGGUCCUUAGCUUAUUGGUGAGCUUCGAGGGCACUAUGGUGUUGAUUUUUUAACUGUAGUCAAUGAAUAGCUUUCUCACAUAGGUGUUCCUUUUGACCAGGUGAGAAAGGGCAGUGUGGAUUGCAAUAGAGACUGCAUCAUCUGUGGAUCUGUUGGGGUGGUACGCAAAUUGGAGUGGGGCUAGGGUUUCUGGGAUGAUAGUGUUGAUGUGAGCCAUGACCAGCCUUUCAAAGCACCUCAUGGCUAGAGACAUGUUUAAAGGUCCUACUCACAUCGGCUGCGGAUAGCUGGUGCUCCCAUGCAUGUUUCAGUGUUAUUUGCCUCAAAGCGAGCAUAGAAGAGGUUUCGCUCGUCUGGAAGGCUCGUGUCACUGGGCAGCUCUCGGCUGUGCUUCCCUUUGUAGUCUGUAAUGGUUUGCAAGCCCUGUCACAUCCGACGAGCGUCAGAGCCGGUGUAGUACGAUUCGAUCUUAGCCCUGUAUUGACGCUUUGCCUGUUUGAUGGUUCAUCAGAGGGCAUAGCGGGAUUUCUUAUAAGCUUCCGGGUUAGAGUCCCGCUCCUUGAAAGCGGAAGCUCUAGCCUUUAGCUCAGUGCAGAUGCUGCCUGUAAUCCAUGGCGUCUGGUUGGGGUAUAUACGUAGUAUGGUCAAUGUUGGGAUGACAUCUUUGAUACACUUAUUGAUGAAGCCAAUGACAGAUGUGGUGUACUCCUCAAUGCCAUCGGAGGAAUCCCGGAACAUAUUCCAGUCUGUGCCAGCAAAACAGUCCUGUAGCUUAGCAUCAGCUUCAUCUGAACACUUUCUUAUUGACCUAGUCACUGGUGCUUCCUGCUUUCAUUUUUGCUUGUAAGCAGGAAUCAGGAGGAUAUAAUUAUGGUCAGAUUUGCCAAAUGGAGGGCGAAGGAGAGCUUUGUAUUGUUCUCUGUGUGUGGAGUAUAGGUGGUCCAGAGUUCUUUUUCCUCUGGUUGCACAUUUAACAUGCUGAUAGAAAUUCUGGAGUAAAAAUGUGCUUAACAAGUCACAUGAUACGUUGCAUGGACUCACUCAGUGUGCCAUAACAGUGUUUAACAUGCAUUUUUAAUGACUACUUUAUCUCUGUACCCCACACAUACAAUUAUCUGUAAGAUCCCUCAGUCGAGCAGUGAAUUUCAAACACAGAUUCAACCACAAAGACCAGUGAGGUUUUCCAAUGCCUUCCUAAGAAGGGCACCUAUUAGUAGAUGGGUAAACAUUUUAAAAAGCAGAAAUUGAAUAUCCCUUUGAGCAUGGUGAAGUUAUUAAUUACACCUUGGAUGGUGUAUCAAUAUACUAUACCCAGUCUCUACAAAGUUACAGGAAUCAUUCAGUUGCCAGAGAGGAAGGAAACCGCUCAGGGAUUUCACCAUGAGGCCGAUGGGGACUUCAAAACAGUUACAGAGUUGAAUGCCUGUGAUAGGAGAAAACUGAGGAUGGAUCAACAACAUUGUAGAUACUCCACAAAACUAACCUAAAUGACAGAGUGAAAAGAAGGAAGCCUGUACAGAAAAAAAUAUAUUACAAAACAUGCAUCCUGUUUGCAACAAGGCAUUAAAGUAAUACUGCAAAAAUGUGACAAAAUAAAUUUACUUUUUGUCCUAAAUACAAUGUGUUGUGUUUGGGGAAAAUCCAACACAUCACUGAGUACCACUCUCCAAAUUUUCAAGGACAGUGCUUGCUGCGUCAUGUUAUGGGUAUACUUGUAAUCGUUAAGGAAGUGGGAGUUUUUCAGGAUAAAAAAAUAAAUGUAGCUAAGCACAGGCAAAACCUGGUUCAGUCUGCUUUCCACCAGACACUGGGAGAUGAAUUCACCAUUCAAAUCAAAUCAAAUUUAUUUAUAUAGCCCUUCGUACAUCAGCUGAUAUGUCAAAGUGCUGUACAGAAACCCAGCCUAAAACCCCAAACAGCAAGCAAUGCAGGUGUAGAAGCACGGUGGCUAGGAAAAACUCCCUAGAAAGGCCAAAACCUAGGAAGAAACCUAGAGAGGAACCAGGCUAUGUGGGGUGGCCAGUCCUCUUCUGGCUGUGCCGGGUGGAGAUUAUAACAGAACAUGGCCAAGAUGUUCAAAUGUUCAUAAAUGACCAGCAUGGUCGAAUAAUAAUAAGGCAGAACAGUUGAAACUGGAGCAGCAGCACAGUCAGGUGGAAGUUGAAACUGGAGCAGCAGCAUGGCCAGGUGGACUGGGGACAGGGGUCAUCAUGUCAGGUAGUCCUGGGGCAUGGUCCUAGGGCUCAGGUCCUCCGAGAGAGAGAAAGAAAGAGAGAAGGAGAGAAUUAGAGAACGCACACUUAGAUUCACACAGGACACCGAAUAGGACAGGAGAAGUACUCCAGAUAUAACAAACUGACCCC